UUUGACUCACUCAACCCAGACCAGAGGAAAGAUUUAAGUCACUUCCUAAAUUCUGUCAGCCACACCUCUAGGGAUUUUAGAAAGAGAAAGGAAAAAAAAGGAGGGAUUGCAGGAAUUUUUCUUUUUGGGGGGUUUGCUUGAUGCCAAUUACCAAAUAUUUUAAAAGAAAGUUGGGGUUUGUCUCAAUUAGGGACAAGAAAAGUUGGGUCGGAUAAUGAGCAAGGGUCAAGUUUGUAACUGUCAUCACCAUAGAUAUGUAUAUAUAUAUAUUAUAUAAAUUUUAUCUUCAUCUUGCAUGAUGGCGGUUGGGGCAAGGACUCUAUUGUGUGAAAUAAUAGGUUCUUUAUAUUUUGUGGAAAUAACUUGUGGAAAGAAUCUUGCCUCAAUUUAGGCCAACUCAAUUAGGGUACUUUUUGGAUUAUAUCUAUCUUUAUUUGUUUGAUUAGGGCUGAUUCUUCUGGCUGACCAAUCAACCUUCAAUUUUAAUGAAUUAUGUCAAAGUAGAGACUAGAAAAUUUCUUAAAAGAAGGACCUGUUUGUUUAGCAUUUAUUCAUUUGAUAAAUUCUGAAGAGUUGUUUUUCAAAAAUCUAAAUCUGCAGAAUUAUCUUCUUGUUUUCUUGUCACCAUCCAGCAUUAUAUCACAUCAUCAAUUCCUAACGUUGGUUUGCAGGUUUGGAGAGCAGAAUUAGUAUUAUCUGAUUUUGUAUUGCAUAAAAUGUGCAUUUCAUCUGAACUUGAUGGAAUUGUGUCAUUAGAACUUGGUGCUGGAACAGGUAAACAAUAUCUGCCACCUACUUUGGUGCCUUUUUCUACGCAUGUGUUAUGUUUUCCAUAUAAAUAUUAUAUGGUUUGAGUCCCAUGCAUGUAUUAUCAUUUCCUAGCAAUUUAAGAUCUUUGGACAGGUAAGACCGAGAAAGCUUGCUGUAAAUUUUACCAAUAAUUACAAGUUGCAGCUUAAGCUGCAUGUUUUCACAAUUCACACAUUCAACAAUAUGAAGUGUAGAGUUUUUGUUAAACAUCAGCAAA